rnacentral:rRNA from 1 species
AUUGAACGCUGGCGGAAUGCUUUACACAUGCAAGUCGAACGGCAGCACGGACUUCGGUCUGGUGGCGAGUGGCGAACGGGUGAGUAAUGUAUCGGAACGUGCCCAGUCGUGGGGGAUAACGUAGUGAAAAUUACGCUAAUACCGCAUACGAUCUAUGGAUGAAAGCGGGGGAUCGCAAGACCUCGCGCGAUUGGAGCGGCCGAUAUCAGAUUAGGUAGUUGGUGGGGUAAAGGCCCACCAAGCCAACGAUCUGUAGCUGGUCUGAGAGGACGACCAGCCACACUGGAACUGGGACACGGUCCAGACUCCUACGGGAGGCAGCAGUGGGGAAUUUUGGACAAUGGGUGAAAGCCUGAUCCAGCCAUUCCGCGUGCAGGAUGAAGGCCCUCGGGUUGUAAACUGCUUUUGUACAGAACGAAAAGGUUUCUACUAAUACUAGGAGCUCAUGACGGUACUGUAAGAAUAAGCACCGGCUAACUACGUGCCAGCAGCCGCCGUAA